rnacentral:rRNA from 1 species
UACAGAGGUCUCAAGCGUUGUUCGGAUUCAUUGGGCGUAAAGGGUGUGUAGGUGGCGCCGUAAGUCGGGUGUGAAAUCUCGGGGCUUAACUCCGAAACUGCAUUCGAUACUGCCGUGCUUGAGGACUGGAGAGGAGACUGGAAUUUACGGUGUAGCGGUGGAAUGCGCAGAUAUCAGGAGGAACACCGGUGGCGAAGGCGGGUCUCUGGGCCGAUACUGACGCUGAGGAGCGAAAGCGUGGGGAGCGAACAGG